GUCCACGCCGUAAACGAUGCUCACUGGUUCUGUGCGAUAUAUUGUACGGGAUUAAGCGAAGUAUUAAGUGAGCCACCUGGGGAGUACGUCGGCAACGAUGAAACUCAAAGGAAUUGACGGGGCCCGCACAAGCGGAGGAACAUGUGGUUUAAUUCGAUGAUACGCGAGGAACCUUACCUGGGUUUAAAUGGGAAAUGUCGUAUUUGGAAACAGAUAUUCUCUUCGGAGCGUUUUUCAAGGUGCUGCAUGGUUGUCGU
rnacentral:rRNA from 1 species